rnacentral:lncRNA from 1 species
AUGUAUCUCCCGCCUUUCACUCAUGCCCGUGCGUGGAUGCACUGGAGUCAGGAGAGGCAGCACCGACGGCUCUUGCCAUGGGCAGCACUGCCAGGUGCCGGGGGAAGGCUGGAGCGGAGCGCUGCAGCCCGGUCCGCCGCGGGGCUGCGGGCAGGAGCACGCAUGGGUGAACCCCGCAGCCGGACACUGACGCCCUGGGCCGUGCCGGGCUCAGCGCUUCGGGAGCUCCUGCGUGUUCGUUCUGGAGGAUCUUGCGAGAGACCAAACAGUCCAUGCAGCCUCCUGAAGUACACGUGUGACUUCUGCAGGCCACUUGUGCCAACCCAGGUCUCUGCUAGUGCCCUGGUGGGUCAUGGUGAGACCCAGCUCCCUUGCCUUGAGAAACGCUGUACCCAGCCUCGGCCAGACCUCCCCGGAGAGAGCGGAUCCUCCCAAGGACUGGGGUUUAGCACCACCUCCAUGGAUCUGUCACAAGGACUCUAGGAAGACUGCUGAACCAAGGAAUUGUGUAGGCUGGUAGUCAGGUGAUAAAACUGAGAUUAGGAUCAAGCACUGUUUUCCCAGAUGGGGUGGGGAGUCAUUCCAUGCCAACUCUUACGUGUAAGUACCCAAAGCACUGCAGAUUCAGAUGAGUCCCUCGUGGCGCACCACAACUUCAGUCAUAAGGGACAAACAGCCUGGCAGCCCCUCGCUCCUCUCACCACGGCAAUGGCAACUUAUCCAGCCGCAUGCAUCCUAUCCUCACAGCUUUGAUCUCCGCUCAGGAGAGGAGGGAGGCUGGAGAGAAGCUAUGAUGGGCGCUGUGAGGGCAUAACACGGGCUGCAGUGCUCCGAGGCAGCCCACGCGUUUUGGCGGCAGCCGCCCGUGCUCAGCAGCCCCGCACGGGCUGCGCCUUCCCCCGCACCGCAGUGCGUGCAGUCAUGGCGGUGCUGGAAGCCAAACACCCUGCUGACAGGGUAUCUGAAAAAAAAACAAAUGCCUGUCUUUGAAGUGAUAUGCUCAAGGCGAUUUGUGUGGAGCUUUCUAGGUCUU